rnacentral:rRNA from 1 species
CGUCAUAGAGGGUGAGAAUCCCGUCUUUGACACGGACUACCAAGGCUUUGUGAUGCGCUCUCAAAGAGUCGAGUUGUUUGGGAAUGCAGCUCAAAAUGGGUGGUAAAUUCCAUCUAAAGCUAAAUAUUGGCGAGAGACCGAUAGCGAACAAGUACCGUGAGGGAAAGAUGAAAAGAACUUUGGAAAGAGAGUUAAACAGUACGUGAAAUUGCUGAAAGGGAAACGCUUGAAGUCAGUCGCGUCGUUCAGAACUCAACCUUACUUUUGUGGGGUGUAUUUUCUGUUUGACGGGUCAGUAUCAAUUUUGACCGUUGGAUAAAGUCCUUUGGAAUGUGGCUUCUUCGGAAGUGUUAUAGCCUUUGGUCGCAUACAACGGUUGGGAUUGAGGUACUCAGCACGCUGCAAAGCCGGGUUUCGACCACGUUCGUGCUUAGGAUACUGGCAUAAUGGCUUUAAUCGACCCGUCUUGAAACACGGACCAAGGAGUCUAACAUGCCUGCGAGUGUUUGGGUGGAAAACCCGAGCGCGUAAUGAAAGUGAAAGUUGAGAUCCCUGUCGUGGGGAGCAUCGACGCCCGGACCAGACCUUUUGUGACGGAUCCGCGGUAGAGCAUGUAUGUUGGGACCCGAAAGAUGGUGAACUAUGCCUGAAUAGGGUGAAGCCAGAGGAAACUCUGGUGGAGGCUCGUAGCGAUUCUGACGUGCAAAUCGAUCGUCAAAUUUGGGUAUAGGGGCGAAAGACUAAUCGAACCAUCUAG